rnacentral:rRNA from 1 species
UACGUAGGGUGCAAACGUUGUUCGGAAUCACUGGGCAUAAAGCGCGUGUAGGCGGUCUGGCAAGUCGGGUGUGAAAUCCCUCGGCUCAACCGAGGAACCGCAUUCGAUACUGCUGGGCUAGAGUGCAGGAGGGGAGAGCGGAAUUCCUGGUGUAGCGGUGAAAUGCGUAGAGAUAUGGAGGAACACCAGUGGCGAAGGCGGCUUCCUGGUCUGUAACUGACACUGAGGCGCGAAAGCGUGGGGAGCAAACAGG